AAGUGUAAGUAUCUUAGCAUUGUAAAUUGCUUUGGAGAAAAACAUCAGAUACAUGUAUUUGUAAUGUCUGUUGGUUAGUUAACACUUUAAUCGAAAGCAUCAUAUAGUACUUGCAUCAGUAUUUGACUAGCUAGAGCAAGUAAGGAUACCACUCAUGAGUAGAACUAUAGUGGCCAGAAGGACUUAAAUAACCUUCUGGCAGCAAGUACAUAUCUGCAACCUUGACAUUUAUCGUGACCUCAGCCAUGUAACCCUGACUUACCAGCUAGUUUUUGCUAUGCUGCUGCUCUGGAUUUCUGAUCAAUUAACAGGACAUCAUAUUGUAUACUUGGAGAUCACUUCACUUGAAAAGGGUGAACAAGUGUCUGUUGUACUUUUGGAACAUGACAUCCUGCCAAAUGAAACCCAACCCGUGGGAAUACCAAGACCUGAGUCAGUUAACAGUGUGGCCAUCGGCCUUCAUUACCAUCUCAAUUAUACAAACCCAUGGGAGAAGUUCUGUUUCCAACCUUCUCGAGGACCAUUUUAAACUGAUGAGCAGUUGAAACAUAAGCUAGCGGAGGGCUCGUCAGCUGACACGUCUAUAAAUGAGAGCUCCCAGUCAGUGCGGCCAGAGUCGGAGGAGACCAAGCACUUACUGCAGGACUACGGCCUCUUAUCUUACACUGUUUUACACUUCAAGGUGCAACACGUCAGAUCAUCUGGCAGUGGUAUGCUGCUUUGGAGUUGUGCUUUAACCAGUUUUAUGGCCAAAGAAAACACAAGUGGCAAACACUUCUCCGUGCCUGAAACUUGAGGGAAGAAAACUUUGUGGUGUCUUUUUGGGAAGAAAUCCGUGCCAUUUUGCAGAAUUCCCCCAGGACUCCUCAGUCAUGGCUGGACUCAAACCAAAAGAUUUUGCUCCCACAGCUGCUGUCAAGUUCUUUGGUGCUGGAACAGCGGCUUGCAUUGCUGACCUGGUUACUUUCCCCCUGGAUACAGCCAAAGUGAGGCUUCAAAUCCAAGGGGAAUCCAAAUCUACAGAGAAGAGCAGCGGGGUGCGAUAUCGUGGUGUGUUUGGCACUAUUGCCACCAUGGUGCGGGUGGAGGGACCACGCAGCUUGUACAGUGGCCUGGUGGCUGGGCUCCAGAGGCAGAUGAGCUUUGCCUCAGUCCGCAUCGGGCUCUAUGACUCAAUGAAACAGUUUUACACAUAUGGAUCGGAGAAUGCUGGUGUUGCCAGUCGGCUCAUGGCAGGCUGCACCACUGGGGCAAUGGCCGUGGCUUUUGCACAGCCCACAGAUGUGGUGAAGGUGCGUUUCCAGGCCCAGAUGCGUGGAACCAGUGAGACGAAGAGGUACAAUGGCACUAUGGAUGCCUAUAAGACCAUUGCUCAAGAUGAGGGUGUCAGAGGGCUUUGGAAAGGGUGUACGCCUAACAUAAUCAGAAAUGCCAUUGUGAACUGUUCCGAGUUGGUCACCUAUGACAUCAUCAAGGAACUCAUCCUAAAGUAUGACCUCAUGACAGAUAAUUUGCCCUGCCACUUCACGGCUGCCUUUGGAGCAGGUUUCUGCACCACCAUUGUUGCAUCUCCAGUAGAUGUUGUGAAGACACGUUUCAUGAACUCCUCUGCUGGGGAGUACAACAGCGCCAUCAACUGUGCCUUCACCAUGCUUAAAAAGGAAGGACCAGCAGCCUUCUACAAGGGUUUCAUGCCAUCCUUCCUGAGGUUGGGGUCCUGGAAUAUUGUGAUGUUCGUCUCAUAUGAACAAAUCAAGAGAGCCAUGUCAAGAGCUCAGCAGUCCUGGGAAUCUCCAAUAUGAGCCUAAAUGUUGGGACUAUCAUUCAUGGUUACUCUUGGGGGCUUUCUCAUAACCACUCUGACACCACAGAGGCUUGUGGCAUUUUGUGGAAAAACAUGCAGGGAUGCUGCCUGAAAAGAAAAAAGGACACUUUUACAAUUGAGUGACAAGUAAAGAACCGCUUGUCCCAUAUGGGGUCACGGGGAACCGGA